AUCUAUAUACGUGUAUAUACGUGUGUGUGUAUAUAUAUAUACACACACACACAUGCGUAUAUAUGUAUUUGUACA
rnacentral:pre_miRNA from 8 species